rnacentral:rRNA from 1 species
GUCUAUGGCCAUGCCGCCUGAACAAGCCUGAUCUCUUCUGAUCUCAGAAGCUAAGCAGGGUCAGGCAUGGUUAGUACUUGGAUGGGAGACCGCCUAAGAAGAUCAAGUGCUGUAGGUG